ensembl:misc_RNA Metazoa_SRP Metazoan signal recognition particle RNA
GCCGGGUGUGGUGGCUCACACCUGUAAUCCCAGCACUUUGGGAGGCCGAGGCGGGCGGAUCACCUGAGGUCAGGAGUUUGAGACCAGCCUGACCAACAUGGUGAAACCCCAUCUCUA